UUAAGCGACUAAGCGUACACGGUGGAUGCCCUGGCAGUCAGAGGCGAUGAAGGACGUGCUAAUCUGCGAUAAGCGUCGGUAAGGUGAUAUGAACCGUUAUAACCGGCGAUUUCCGAAUGGGGAAACCCAGUGUGUUUCGACACACUAUCAUUAACUGAAUCCAUAGGUUAAUGAGGCGAACCGGGGGAACUGAAACAUCUAAGUACCCCGAGGAAAAGAAAUCAACCGAGAUUCCCCCAGUAGCGGCGAGCGAACGGGGAGCAGCCCAGAGCCUGAAUCAGUAUGUGUGUUAGUGGAAGCGUCUGGAAAGGCGCGCGAUACAGGGUGACAGCCCCGUACACAAAAAUGCACAUGCUGUGAGCUCGAUGAGUAGGGCGGGACACGUGGUAUCCUGUCUGAAUAUGGGGGGACCAUCCUCCAAGGCUAAAUACUCCUGACUGACCGAUAGUGAACCAGUACCGUGAGGGAAAGGCGAAAAGAACCCCGGCGAGGGGAGUGAAAAAGAACCUGAAACCGUGUACGUACAAGCAGUGGGAGCACGCUUAGGCGUGUGACUGCGUACCUUUUGUAUAAUGGGUCAGCGACUUAUAUUCUGUAGCAAGGUUAACCGAAUAGGGGAGCCGAAGGGAAACCGAGUCUUAACUGGGCGUUAAGUUGCAGGGUAUAGACCCGAAACCCGGUGAUCUAGCCAUGGGCAGGUUGAAGGUUGGGUAACACUAACUGGAGGACCGAACCGACUAAUGUUGAAAAAUUAGCGGAUGACUUGUGGCUGGGGGUGAAAGGCCAAUCAAACCGGGAGAUAGCUGGUUCUCCCCGAAAGCUAUUUAGGUAGCGCCUCGUGAAUUCAUCUCCGGGGGUAGAGCACUGUUUCGGCAAGGGGGUCAUCCCGACUUACCAACCCGAUGCAAACUGCGAAUACCGGAGAAUGUUAUCACGGGAGACACACGGCGGGUGCUAACGUCCGUCGUGAAGAGGGAAACAACCCAGACCGCCAGCUAAGGUCCCAAAGUCAUGGUUAAGUGGGAAACGAUGUGGGAAGGCCCAGACAGCCAGGAUGUUGGCUUAGAAGCAGCCAUCAUUUAAAGAAAGCGUAAUAGCUCACUGGUCGAGUCGGCCUGCGCGGAAGAUGUAACGGGGCUAAACCAUGCACCGAAGCUGCGGCAGCGACGCUGAUGCGUUGUUGGGUAGGGGAGCGUUCUGUAAGCCUGCGAAGGUGUGCUGUGAGGCAUGCUGGAGGUAUCAGAAGUGCGAAUGCUGACAUAAGUAACGAUAAAGCGGGUGAAAAGCCCGCUCGCCGGAAGACCAAGGGUUCCUGUCCAACGUUAAUCGGGGCAGGGUGAGUCGACCCCUAAGGCGAGGCCGAAAGGCGUAGUCGAUGGGAAACAGGUUAAUAUUCCUGUACUUGGUGUUACUGCGAAGGGGGGACGGAGAAGGCUAUGUUGGCCGGGCGACGGUUGUCCCGGUUUAAGCGUGUAGGCUGGUUUUCCAGGCAAAUCCGGAAAAUCAAGGCUGAGGCGUGAUGACGAGGCACUACGGUGCUGAAGCAACAAAUGCCCUGCUUCCAGGAAAAGCCUCUAAGCAUCAGGUAACAUCAAAUCGUACCCCAAACCGACACAGGUGGUCAGGUAGAGAAUACCAAGGCGCUUGAGAGAACUCGGGUGAAGGAACUAGGCAAAAUGGUGCCGUAACUUCGGGAGAAGGCACGCUGAUAUGUAGGUGAAGUCCCUCGCGGAUGGAGCUGAAAUCAGUCGAAGAUACCAGCUGGCUGCAACUGUUUAUUAAAAACACAGCACUGUGCAAACACGAAAGUGGACGUAUACGGUGUGACGCCUGCCCGGUGCCGGAAGGUUAAUUGAUGGGGUUAGCGCAAGCGAAGCUCUUGAUCGAAGCCCCGGUAAACGGCGGCCGUAACUAUAACGGUCCUAAGGUAGCGAAAUUCCUUGUCGGGUAAGUUCCGACCUGCACGAAUGGCGUAAUGAUGGCCAGGCUGUCUCCACCCGAGACUCAGUGAAAUUGAACUCGCUGUGAAGAUGCAGUGUACCCGCGGCAAGACGGAAAGACCCCGUGAACCUUUACUAUAGCUUGACACUGAACAUUGAGCCUUGAUGUGUAGGAUAGGUGGGAGGCUUUGAAGUGUGGACGCCAGUCUGCAUGGAGCCGACCUUGAAAUACCACCCUUUAAUGUUUGAUGUUCUAACGUUGACCCGUAAUCCGGGUUGCGGACAGUGUCUGGUGGGUAGUUUGACUGGGGCGGUCUCCUCCUAAAGAGUAACGGAGGAGCACGAAGGUUGGCUAAUCCUGGUCGGACAUCAGGAGGUUAGUGCAAUGGCAUAAGCCAGCUUGACUGCGAGCGUGACGGCGCGAGCAGGUGCGAAAGCAGGUCAUAGUGAUCCGGUGGUUCUGAAUGGAAGGGCCAUCGAGGGGGGCUGCUCCUAGUACGAGAGGACCGGAGUGGACGCAUCACUGGUGUUCGGGUUGUCAUGCCAAUGGCACUGCCCGGUAGCUAAAUGCGGAAGAGAUAAGUGCUGAAAGCAUCUAAGCACGAAACUUGCCCCGAGAUGAGUUCUCCCUGACUCCUUGAGAGUCCUGAAGGAACGUUGAAGACGACGACGUUGAUAGGCCGGGUGUGUAAGCGCAGCGAUGCGUUGAGCUAACCGGUACUAAUGAACCGUGAGGCUUAACCUU
rnacentral:rRNA from 1 species